CCUCCUUUCCUCAAUUUCCACACUACUUAAACUACUAUUCCGCACACACUCUCACACAAACUAAACAUAAUCAUCAUUCACUAUCAUUUUUCUCAUCCAAUGAUGGAUAUUCAACAAGAACUUUUCAAGUUCAAACCCUACAUCAGUGGGGCCCUCAUUUCUUUCCUAGCCAUUUUCAUUUUCAUCCAUCUUCUCCCCUUCAUCAUUACCAUGGUAACCUUCUACUUUCCACUCUUUUUCUCUACUGCCCUAUUUGCCGUCGUCAUCUUCGUUUUGACAAAGAUCACCCCACCCAACAAUGACCCUAUUCAUGUCCCUAGACUAGCUGAAGAAAUCCUCGAGUAUUUUGUCAUCGCUGGAAACCACCAAUUCUACCACCCCGACUACAACAACCAUCUUGCCAACCACCACCAUCCCGAAAACUACUACCUCCCUGCCAACCACAAUCAACUCGAUCUACCUCCUCCCGACAAGGUUGAUGACAACAAGGAUGACUAGAAGUCAAACCAUAUAUCACCGUGAUUAAUUGUGAAGAGAAGACGGUGAUAGAGUGCUAGCAUAGGCCAUAUAUAAGU